AUACGUAGGUGGCGAGCGUUGUCCGGAUUUACUGGGUGUAAAGGGAGCGUAGACGGAGUGGCAAGUCUGAUGUGAAAACCCGGGGCUCAACCCCGGGACUGCAUUGGAAACUGUCAAUCUAGAGUACCGGAGAGGUAAGCGGAAUUCCUAGUGUAGCGGUGAAAUGCGUAGAUAUUAGGAGGAACACCAGUGGCGAAGGCGGCUUACUGGACGGUAACUGACGUUGAGGCUCGAAAGCGUGGGGAGC
rnacentral:rRNA from 1 species